AUGGAAGCUCAGGCGACUCGCUCGUCGUCAGCGACGUGGAAUGCGAUCAUAGCUGGCAGAAAGGCGCUGGAAUGUGGCCUGAUCAAGCGAGUGGUGAAUGGUGAGUCUAUUUCCACCUGGACGGAUAGAUGGAUCCCGAGCACGAGCACUCGUAUACCUACUGGUCGGAUUGGGACUGACCCUAUACCUCGGGUCUCUGAACUGUUCGAUCAUGAGACGGGGGCGUGGGAUGUUGAUCUAAUUCGAAGGAACUUCCUACCUUCAGAUGCAGCGGCUAUCUUGAAUAUACCAUUGAGAGCUACUGGGGGAGAGGAUUAUUUUGCUUGGGACUUGGAGAGGUCUGGUGUUUAUUCUGUUAAAUCGGCUUAUCGUGCUCUAGUGACUCAUAACGAGCAAUCUGCUCCAGAGGAAGGAACGGUAACGGAUCCAUCAUCGUCGGAUAAACACAUGUGGACUGCUUUGUGGAAGCUCAAGGUAAUUCCCAGAGUACGAGUUUUU
rnacentral:rRNA from 1 species